AACGAACGCUGGCGGCAGGCUUAACACAUGCAAGUCGAGCGAGACCUUCGGGUCUAGCGGCGGACGGGUUAGUAACGCGUGGGAACGUGCCUCUCUCUACGGAAUAGUCCUGGGAAACUGGGUUUAAUACCGUAUACGCCCUCUGGGGAAAGGAUUUAUCGGAGAGAGAUCGGCCCGCGUUGGAUUAGGUAGUUGGUGGGGUAAGUGGCCUACCAAGCCUACGAUCCAUAGCUGGUUUUAGAGGAUGAUCAGCAACACUGGGACUGAGACACGGCCCAGACUCCUACGGGAGGCAGCAGUGGGGGAAUCUUAGACAAUGGGCGCAAGCCUGAUCUAGCCAUGCCGCGUGAGUGAUGAAGGCCUUAGGGUCGUAAAGACUCUUUCGUCCAGGGAGUGAUAAUAGACAGUACCUGGUAAAGAAACCCGGA
rnacentral:rRNA from 1 species